rnacentral:rRNA from 1 species
UGGGGAAUAUUGCACAAUGGAGGGAACUCUGAUGCAGCGACGCCGCGUGAACGAAGAAGGCUUUCGAGUCGUAAAGUUCUUUUAUAUGGGAAGAUAAUGACGGUACCAUAAGAAAAAGCCCCGGCUAACUACGUGCCAGCAGCCGCGGUAAUACGUAGGGGGCUAGCGUUGUCCGGAAUCACUGGGCGUAAAGGGUUCGCAGGCGGAAAUGCAAGUCAGGUGUAAAAGGCAGUAGCUUAACUACUGUAAGCACUUGAAACUGAAAGACUUGAGUGAAGGAGAGGAAAGUGGAAUUCCCAGUGUAGCGGUGAAAUGCGUAGAUAUUGGGAGGAACACCAGUAGCGAAGGCGGCUUUCUGGACUGCAACUGACACUGAGGCACGAAAGCGUGGGUAGCAAACAGG